UGAUGGUGCUUGGAGCUCUCUUUGGCUACGGUGGUUUAGAAAGAAGGCAGAAAGUUCGAAAGGAGAGAGAAAGAGAGCGAGCUGUAAUCUAAGAGGAAAAGAUGGUUUCGAGAGAAGGCAGAGAGUUCGAAAAGAGAGAGAAAGAGAGAACCGGUUUUCCAAAACAAAAAUGAUGGUGAUGUGUGAGUGAUGAUAAGAAUUGGUGGUUAAGUGUGUAGGUUUAGAGAGAGAGUGAGAGAAUGACAUGAGGGAGGUGGGAGAGAGAUGGGACCGGUUGAUAGGGAAGGAUGCAUGCUUUGACCGGUUUUGGUGCUCCAAAGUUCAAAGUGUCACCAACCCAGAUAAAAUCAUAAAUAAAAAACCCAUGCUCAGACCGGUUUUGGCUCUAAAGUUCAAAGUAGGAUACUAAUAAAAUCAUAAAUAAAAGAAAGAGGAUUUCGGGGAUGAUACCAACGGGCGUGGUUUUGUUAAGGGAUAACUGGCAUGGCUUUCUAGUAGUUUUAUAAUUAACCAUCAAGCCCACUACGUUAGAUUUUUACUUUUAUUUUUUAAAAAUGAGAUAUAAUCAUUCAAAAUGUCUUAAGUUAUAUGGUAUAUAUGCUUAAUAUGUUUUUAAAUUUUAGACUUUGUUGGAUACUCUUUUUGUAGUUUAUCAUUCUUUUAUUAUCUUAUCAAUGGAUUUCAUACAAGUAUAAUUUUUUAUGUGUCAAUAUACAUUUAUUUACAAGAUAUACAAGAAAUUAACCUAAAUCAGCCUAGGCCGCCUAGGCGCCGGCCUAGAUCCUGCCUAGCCAUCUA
rnacentral:lncRNA from 1 species